UCACAUUUGUGCCAACGAGUUAAGUAAAAAUGUAAAAUUAUAACAUAACAAUUGACAAAUUUGAAUACAAACAUUGUCAGAAUCGUCAAUCACGAAAAGUAAUAAUACCUAGCAGUAUCUAUGAGAAAUUGUUAUCCACUUAUGGAUAUAAAAACUCGAGAAGCCGUUGCCGUAGUGAUGUAUUAUAUAUAUAUAUAUAUAGAUUAGCUGUCCCGCUCGGCGUUGCCCAUGCCAAUUUUAUUUAUUUUUUUACCCAUAUUCCUAUUUGGUUUUUACCAUGUUAGUAAUGAAUAAAAACAAAUAGGUGGAAAGUGGGUAGUCCACCUUUGGCAGUUUAGUGGACUAUAAGUGUUCUGUAAUGUCAUUUGUUCAUGAUUUUCACACGAAAAAUAUCGAA